rnacentral:rRNA from 1 species
UACGUAGGGGGCAAGCGUUGUCCGGAAUCAUUGGGCGUAAAGAGCGCGUAGGCGGUCCGGUAAGUCCGCUCUGAAAGUCCGGGGCUCAACCCCGGGAGGCGGGCGGAUACUGCCGGGCUAGAGUCCGGAAGAGGCGAGUGGAAUUCCUGGUGUAGCGGUGAAAUGCGCAGAUAUCAGGAGGAACACCAAUGGCGAAGGCAGCUCGCUGGGACGUUACUGACGCUGAGACGCGAAAGCGUGGGGAGCAAACAGG